GAGGGUAUAGCUCAAGUGGUAGAGCGCAUGCUUAGCAUGCAGAAGGUCCUGGGUUCAAUCCUCAGUACCUCCU
rnacentral:tRNA from 1 species